AAGUUUAAAUGACUUUUUUAGGACCACAAGGCUAGUAAUAGAGCCUAGAGUCAACUCUUCUGGUUUAAAAUUCAGGAGUCAAGUUUCCUAUGGUUUCUUUUUUUAGAGCCACAUGGGAAAUUCAUAUCCUGUUCAUGAUGGACCCUCAGCUAAAUGAACAAAGAAAAUGAAAUAGGAACUGGAUCUAUGAUUCUAUCCAUAGAGGGAACUCCAAGAUUAGGAAAUGUCCUCUACUUAUGAAGGAUACCAUCUCUUCUGCAGUUUUUAAAUGUAAAGAGUUUCUCCUGUUAUAGCACCUAUUCCAGAAUGAGGCAUUUAAGAUAUGGUAUCACUGGCUUCAGAUCUUUUUGAUAAACUGGAUCCUUCUACUUACCUGCCAUUUGACCCUUCAAAAAUAUACUCUGACUCCUAGACUGUAAGUAUCCAUUUAGGAAACUGGUGGGCAAUCAUUGGUUGCCCAAUAUAUGGGAUAGUUAUGAACAGUUUCUCUACAGAGAGAGGACUGGUACACUGUCUCUUUUUUAUUACCCUCAACGGAUCUUUGCAUAAUGCCUUUAGAGUUCUUUAUUCCACAAGUCCAUGUGAGUCAUAGCUCAUGUGCCCCAUCAGUAGAAAAAUAAAAACCGGC